GAGAGAGAGAGAGAGAGAGAGAGAGAGAACUAACAAGCUCUAUAUGGCCUUGAGGAAAGUAAUACACUUUUUCUCCAAGUUUUGGAAUAUCACACAAAGGUCCCGCACAGAGUUUCCAUAACUGCUCGUACAUAUAGCUCUUGGACCCAUCAACUGCCGAACAAAAACCAAAACAUUAUAACCAAAAUAAGUUUUUAAUAAAAUAAAAUAAAAAAGUCAAAAUUUCUUACUUAUGCCAGAUAAUUCAGACUGUACAUUCACAACAUUGCCACUUUCCAUAAGCUCGUAUCCAAAGAUUGGUAUAGAAAAAUAUGUUAUCUCAACAGUUAUUAUACAACUUUCUCCUUUUCCUCAACUUCUCGCGCUACCAUGAAAGCGCAUAAUAUCACAUUUAUAGGUGAGAAAUAUCAAAAUACAUUAAAAUACUUCCUUAGAUUUAAAUACUAAAUUUAAUAAGAUUACCAAAAAUUAAU
rnacentral:sRNA from 1 species